UGGGGAAUUUUGGACAAUGGGCGCAAGCCUGAUCCAGCCAUGCCGCGUGCGGGAAGAAGGCCUUCGGGUUGUAAACCGCUUUUGUCAGGGAAGAAAUCUUCUGAGUUAAUACCUCGGGAGGAUGACGGUACCUGAAGAAUAAGCACCGGCUAACUACGUGCCAGCAGCCGCGGUAAUACGUAGGGUGCAAGCGUUAAUCGGAAUUACUGGGCGUAAAGCGUGCGCAGGCGGUUUUGUAAGACAGAGGUGAAAUCCCCGGGCUCAACCUGGGAACUGCCUUUGUGACUGCAAGGCUUGAGUGCGGCAGAGGGGGAUGGAAUUCCGCGUGUAGCAGUGAAAUGCGUAGAUAUGCGGAGGAACACCGAUGGCGAAGGCAAUCCCCUGGGCCUGCACUGACGCUCAUGCACGAAAGCGUGGGGAGCAAACAGGAUUAGAUACCCUGGUAGUCCACGCCCUAAACGAUGUCAACUGGUUGUUGGGAAGGUUCCUUCUCAGUAACGUAGCUAACGCGUGAAGUUGACCGCCUGGGGAGUACGGCCGCAAGG
rnacentral:rRNA from 1 species